rnacentral:rRNA from 1 species
AUUGAACGCUGGCGGCAGGCUUAACACAUGCAAGUCGAGCGAGCGGCGGACGGGUGAGUAAUGUCUGGGACACUGCCUGAUGGAGGGGGAUAACUCCUGGAAACGGUAGCUAAUCCCGCAUACCAUCAAAUGUGCCCAGAUGGGAUUAGCUAGUCGGUGGGGUAAUGGCUCACCGAGGCGACGCUCCCUAGCUGGUCUGAGAGGAUGACCAGCCAGACUGGAACUGAGACACGGGCCAGACUCCGACGGGAGGCAGCAGUGGGGAAUAUGGCACAAUGGGCGCAAGCCUGAUGCAGCCAUGCCGCGGGUGUGAAGAAGGCCUUCGGGUUGUAAAGCACUUUCAGCGAGGAGGCGUUACUCGCAGAAGAAGCACCGGCUAACUCCGUGCCAGCAGCCGCGGUAAUAC